AGUACAAUAUACUGAUUUUGACUUUUAUAGUUUGUGUAUUUUGUCUUAUAGUCAAGAAAUAUUUGCAAAACAUAAGCUGAUUGAUAUUUUUUCCAAUGCUAUCUUUAAAAACUUUUUUAAUAUCAGCUUUUGCAGCCAGGAUAUCAUUCAUUUUCAGUUGAUUUUAUUUUAUAUGAUGUGAGAAGAGUGUACAUUUUUAUUUUUCACCUAUCCAAAAGCAACACUGUUGAAAAGGUUAUCCUCUUAGGACUUUGUAAAGCAUAUGUUUUUCUGUCUCUGUUAGGAAAGCAUUCAUUGAGAGGCAGAGUGACAGAAUAGGAAUGAGUUUAUUAGUAUAGGGCACUUGUGAGAGAUACAAGUGGGCAGGAAAGGAAGUUCAGUGGGCUACAUUUUUAUAAUCAGUGGGAAAGGUGGGGAGGAAAAGAAGACCAUCUUCUUCCUCAUUCUUGAGUAGAUGUCACACUUUCAUCAUUACCUCCUCCUCCCAAUCAGUCAGGGGAGUUUUCUAGUCCCUACUUUCAUCACUGAAUUACCUUGGCAGCAUUAUAGAAAAUUAAUUGACUUUAUCAAUAUAGAUCUAUUUCUGGACACCAUAUUUUUAUCUAUUUGUCUAUAUUCACACUAAUACCAAACUGUCUAUUUAAAUGUAGCUUUAUAAAUAAGUCUUGGUAUAAUUUCCUCUGGGUUCUGUUUUCUUGUUUCCCUUUUUGUCAUAUAUGAGAAGGUGAUAUACCACAGAACUUGCUGCAAAGCCAUCUUCUGGGGUACUGGAGACUGUCCAUGGAAAGUUGUCUCAAUAUGGAACUCACUAGGAAAAUGUCUGUGGGAACCUUACUGCUGAAACAGAGAUAGAUUCUUCUGGGUGUCUCACAGGCCGCUAACCUCCAGACAGCAGCAAACACAUCAGAAACAGUGUGUUGGACCUGUGAGAUUUAGUAUCCAGGUUGUUUCCUACAUCCUAUUUACUCAUUGAAUGGAUUGGAACUGUGCCAAAAUUAAUGUUGCAAUAAUGGAUCCCUGGAGUUUUGGAAAGUAUAAACAUAAACCAGCAUGUUGGGGCCACAGCUAAUAGGAAACAAAAGAAAAUGUCUUCAAUGAUGCUUUAGGGGAUACUUCUCAUAAUUCUCAGCAGAGAAGACUUUCUACUGUCUUUAGCACUCCACACUCCUAACAUUCUGUGGACAAAUAAUCUAAAGCAUCAGACUCAUAAAUGGGAACUGA